rnacentral:rRNA from 1 species
GAUGAACGCUGGCGGCGUGCCUAAUACAUGCAAGUCGAGCGAACGGACGAGAAGCUUGCUUCUCUGAUGUUAGCGGCGGACGGGUGAGUAACACGUGGAUAACCUACCUAUAAGACUGGGAUAACUUCGGGAAACCGGAGCUAAUACCGGAUGAUAUUUUGAACCGCAUGGUUCAAAAGUGAAAGACGGUCUUGCUGUCACUUAUAGAUGGAUCCGCGCUGCAUUAGCUAGUUGGUAAGGUAACGGCUUACCAAGGCAACGAUGCAUAGCCGACCUGAGAGGGUGAUCGGCCACACUGGAACUGAGACACGGUCCAGACUCCUACGGGAGGCAGCAGUAGGGAAUCUUCCGCAAUGGGCGAAAGCCUGACGGAGCAACGCCGCGUGAGUGAUGAAGGUCUUCGGAUCGUAAAACUCUGUUAUUAGGGAAGAACAUAUGUGUAAGUAACUGUGCACAUCUUGACGGUAUCUAAUCAGAAAGCCACGGCUAACUACGUG